ensembl:misc_RNA Gm22959 predicted gene, 22959
GGAUGUGAAGGUGAUCUGGAUGUGACACCAUUGAUUGCCAGGAUUGAUUGAGCUGAUCGGAAUGGCUAGGCCGUUGUCCCCUUCCUCCCUUACCACUGCGUGUGUCUACCUUCCAAGGCUUCAUGCUGGGCUGAAGAGGAUGACUUUUCGUGAAUAGAGGGAGGACCAGACUUUGGGCAAGGGAAUAUGAAUAUGAAUUGCUUCACUCCCUCACUAGAACCUCCAAACAAGCUCUCAGAUAAGGGCAGCUUAUGUGUUAAUCAACUAGGUAUUGAUUGGUUACCCAGUAUGACUUGGAAAGCU